rnacentral:rRNA from 1 species
AACGAACGCUUGCGGCAUGCCUAACACAUGCAAGUCGAACGAGACCUUCGGGUCUAGUGGCGCACGGGUGCGUAACGCGUGGGAACCUGCCCUUAGGUUCGGAAUAACUCCCCGAAAGGGGUGCUAAUACCGGAUAAUGUCUUCGGACCAAAGAUUUAUCGCCUUUGGAUGGGCCCGCGUUGGAUUAGCUAGUUGGUAGGGUAAAAGCCUACCAAGGCGACGAUCCAUAGCUGGUCUGAGAGGAUGAUCAGCCACACUGGGACUGAGACACGGCCCAGACUCCUACGGGAGGCAGCAGUGGGGAAUAUUGGACAAUGGGCGAAAGCCUGAUCCAGCAAUGCCGCGUGAGUGAUCAAGGCCUUAGGGUUGUAAAGCUCUUUUACCCGGGAUGAUAAUGACAGUACCGGGAGAAUAAGCUCCGGCUAACUCCGUG